rnacentral:rRNA from 1 species
GAUGAACGCUGGCGGCGUGCCUAAUACAUGCAAGUCGAGCGAACAGACGAGGAGCUUGCUCCUUUGACGUUAGCGGCGGACGGGUGAGUAGCACGUGGGUAACCUACCUAUAAGACUGGGAUAACUUCGGGAAACCGGAGCUAAUACCGGAUAAUAUUUCGAACCGCAUGGUUCGAUAGUGAAAGAUGGCUCUGCUAUCACUUAUAGAUGGACCUGCGCCGUAUUAGCUAGUUGGUAAGGUAACGGCUUACCAAGGCAACGAUACGUAGCCGACCUGAGAGGGUGAUCGGCCACACUGGAACUGAGACACGGUCCAGACUCCUACGGGAGGCAGCAGUAGGGAAUCUUCCGCAAUGGGCGAAAGCCUGACGGAGCAACGCCGCGUGAGUGAUGAAGGUCUUCGGAUCGUAAAACUCUGUUAUUAGGGAAGAACAAACGUGUAAGUAACUGUGCACGUCUUGACGGUACCUAAUCAGAAAGCCACGGCUAACUACGUG